AGGUGCCACCGGCAGAGCUUGAAGCCCUCCUCGUGAGCCAUCCAUCCAUUGCGGAUGCCGCUGUUGUCCCUCAAUAAGAUGCUGUCGCCGGUGAAGUUCCAGUUGCAUUUGUGGUCCGGUCAAAUGGGUUUGAUCUUACUGAGGAAACUGUAAAAGAAUUUAUAGCCAAACAAGUGGUGUUUUACAAAAAGCUGCACAAGUUCUACUUUGUCCAUGCCAUUCCCAAGUCCCCGCUAAAACUUGAGACAGACUCCCACACAGAAAUUAAAUCUUCAUGAUUGAUUGAUUGUUUCAGCUAGUAGAGGCCUAGAAGCCUUGUUACCUCUAUUUACCUAUUAAAAGUGAGUUUACAGGGGAAGAUGCAGUGCCAUCAACCGGGUUGAGAAGUGUAAGGACCUUCCAAAUGCAA